rnacentral:rRNA from 1 species
UACCAGCACCCCGAGUGGUCGGGACGUUUUAUUGGGCCUAAAGCAUCCGUAGCCGGUUCUAUAAGUCUUCCGUUAAAUCCAACUGCUUAACAGGUGGGCUGCGGAAGAUACUAUAGAGCUAGGAGGCAGGAGAGGGAAGCGGAAUUCCCGGUGUAGUGGUGAAAUGCGUAGAUAUCGGGAGGAACACCAGUGGCGAAGGCGGCUUCCUGGCCUGUUCUUGACGCUGAGGCGCGAAAGCUAGGGGAGCAAACGGG